rnacentral:tRNA from 1 species
GGAGAAGUACCCAAGUGGUUAAGGGGCUCCCCUGCUAAGGGAGUAGGUGGGUAAAACUGCGCCAGGGUUCGAAUCCCUGCUUCUCCGCCA